rnacentral:misc_RNA from 1 species
GAAGAAAAAAAAAAAAAGGAAAAUCUUACGUUAAUUCAUCGAAUAUAGGAAACCGUGAAAAAGUGAAAAAGCAUUGCCAUCUAUCGUUUCGUCUCGUUGCUCGAUACACGCUCUACGUGAAAAGAAAAGCGUUUUGUGAAAAAUAAAGCGAACAAGAUUCGAAGCGUACCGCUUUGCCAUUUACGAGCACUGGUUCCGACAAUGAGCCAACAACGCGCUGCCGGAUUUCUCACGACAUUCAGCGUUGUAAUUUCUCUCUCCAUUGUCUCUACCUAACUACAUCGAGUCGUGACGCGUAAAGAGUGCGACUCUUAUCGGUGGUGUUUGGUAGCGCGAAAAAAAGAAAAAAAAAGAAAAGAAAAGAAAAGAACAGAAACGAAAAGAAAAGAAAAGAAAGGGAAAGGAAAAAAAAAGGAAAAGAAAAAAGACGCACGGCAUUACCUGUGUGCGAAACGAUCGUGCGGUAUGCACGAUCGGACGGAGUGGACCUCUUCCACGGGAAGACAGGAACGUUAGUCAGCAGCGUAAAUAACGACACGAUAGCCGGGGCUGAGCGAGGCUGGUGGGGUCGAACAGAGGCAGAAACAAGCUUGCGGAUAUUUCCUUAG